AGUCACUGACAUUAGAUACCCCUGUAGUCCCAGCCGUAAACAAUGUGCGUUAGGUGUGUCGGUAACCACGUGUUACUGAUGCGCCGAAGAGAAACCGUGAAACGCACCACCUGGGAAGUACGGUCGCAAGGCUGAAACUUAAAGGAAUUGGCGGGGAGCACCACAACAGGUGGAGCCUGCGGUUUAAUUGGAUUCAACGCCGGACAUCUCACCGGAUAAGACAGCUGAAUGAUUGUCAAUCUGAAGGUUUUACAUGACUAGCUG
rnacentral:rRNA from 1 species